UACGGAAGGGGCAAGCGUUGUUCGGAAUCAUUGGGCGUAAAGAGCGCGCAGGCGGUCGUUCAAGUCGAGUGUGAAAGCCCCCGGCUCAACUGGGGAGGGUCACUCGAUACUGAUCGACUUGAAGGCAGGAGAGGGAAGCGGAAUUCCCGGUGUAGUGGUGAAAUGCGCAGAUAUCAGGAGGAACACCGGUGGCGAAGGCGGGUCUCUGGGCAGUAACUGACGCUGAGGAGCGAAAGCGUGGGGAGCAAACAGG
rnacentral:rRNA from 1 species